GAAGUUCCUAUCAUUCUUGGUAUUAUAGCUCAAAAAGGGACAAAAGAUAAGUGUUAUUAAAUCCUUCAGAGCUCUACAUAUUUUCCUAGGUUAAAAUUUGUCACUGUAAUUUCACUCAUUUCUGGUUAAAACAUUGAAAUAUUAUACAUAUCUAAAUCAUCUUAUAUUUCUCUUGAGCUCUAGAAAAACAUGGUCAUCCAGAUACUGUAGGAAGGCAGGGAAGAGUGGCUCAACUAAGGGAUAUGAGCUAGACUGCUUGAAUUUUAAUCCUGCUGACAUCUUUUAAUAGCUGUGUGACUUUGGGAAAGUUAGUAAAGCUCUCAAGAUUCUUAGUUCUUUACCUAUGAACCUCAACAUGAAGAUGAUGAAAAUGGAGACCUUCAUCGUGAUCCACUUCUAAUUAAUGAAUAGGAGGCUUGGGCCGAACUGGGUGAUCAGACAUCAUACACAGAGAAGGAGCAAGAGAGAGAUUACACAGAGGAGGAACAAGGUGUGCAGCGGACAGCCAGUGCCAAGACCUCAGACACGUAACAAUUCAUUGAAAUUGGAAUGUAAGAUGAAACGCCUUUGCAGUCUCUGACUUAAGGUGCUGUCUAUGCAGAAAAUGAAGCCAUCAUUUCUGGAAAGGAAAUGGAUGUUAAUCCAUAUCUUCCACCAUACUCAUCACAUCUUACAGUUUUCUGCAAUUCCAUCUCUCACUCUUCACACUCAGGAUUCAGAUACAGCCAUUGUGUAAUUAUAUGUUUUUCAAGAGAAAUUGAUGAGAAUGUGAAUACUCUGAAAAAGUAUCUUGUUUCCUCCGAUAAAACACAACAAUAUUUUCUGUGUCUACAGACGACUUGAAAAGCUGGAGCAAUCAGUACCAAUCACUCCUCACUCAAAAAGAAUGCACAACCCUGCUGCCCGGAGUGCACUGGUUCUUAUCUGUGACCCUAGCAGCAGACGCACACUGUCAAGUUCUAAGAUUUUAGAUGCAGAUGAGCUUAAUUGUUCUAUCUUACCAAUGAAGAGCACUUGGCAGAUUCAAAGUACCUUUACAGAAACAAUCUCCUCUGACCCUCUCAGGCACAGAAGGUAUUAUUAUCCCUGUGUUAUAAAAGAAAAAAACACAUACGCAGAAGUAGAGUAGGUACCUUUCUCAAGCCCACUUUACAAGGAAGUGGUGGGGCCAUGUCUGUCGUCCUGGCCUCUCUUCUCCUUAAUGAUGUUUUUCAAAACUCAUAAUAGAUGUACCUUCAGACAAUUACUACCAAAGCUUUUAGAAUUUGAUGAAACUUGGGAUUGAAUCUCAGCUCUUUCUUUUGCUAGCUAUGUGAUUAUAGGCAGAUUAUUUAAGCCCUACAAUUUCAUUUUCUCAUUUGUAAAAUGGGAUUAGUAAUUAGGCAUUUCAAGUUAUGAAAAUGUUAGAUGACAUAGUAUUUGCAAAUAGCCAGCUCUUAAUAAACUCAAUGUUAGCUCUAAUAAUUGUCAUAAGAAAAAAUAUAUUCUGCUAUCUUUUAUGAAUAAUUCUACAUCUAGAUAGGAAAUAUUCAGUAUAUAAUUCCAAUUUCUGUUGAAUAGAGAUGGUUCUAGGAAUAAAAAAAAACUUUACUAUUUGUAAAAAUAGAAUAUGUUCCUUUUCCUGGGGUUCAUAAAGAAUGAAACACUUAUCAAGUUGCACUUCAAAUAAUAUAGGUUUUCCAUGCUCUAAAAAGGCAUAUUUUUACAGGCAAAUGAGGCAAAAUAUGCCUUUUGUCAUUCUAAAAACCCAAGUGGGACAGUUUCAGUGAAGGCUCGGGAAUAUAUAUAUUUUUCUUAAAUGAUGAAAAUAGUUUCUCCAAGACCAUAUCUAUUUUAUCUUUAUAUCUAGGCAAACUUUCUAUAUAGAAUCCCAGACAAGAAAAAACAUAUGGCUGUAUGUCACUAUAGAGCUUGGUAAAUGAAUGCUUUUCGUUGAUUUUUGGACUGUCUCAUCAAAAUAACUUGAUAUUUUGGCACCAGGUAGACAGACAUGGUUUCACAAAAGGCAAGAGAGAAAUUACAUUUCAUCAAAGAGAGGAUAUGAAUGGGUAGAUAUUAAAUGGCUCAAAUAUUUUACAUUAGUGGCUGCUUUUCUUAGUUUGCUUUAUGCCUAUAUUUUGAAUGUUAAUAUGAUACAUACUAGCAAUGUCAGGAAAAGAAUUGAAGUAAUUGCCUGUCAGGUGGCUCAAUGUAGCAUGAAUGUGAACAUGUUGAAAGAAUUUUUCAAUGUUUCUAAUAAUAAAAAUAAAUUAAAUAACCAUUUUUUCUAGAAUAUAAACUAAAGUAAGAGAUGCCAAAAUUAAUUUAAAAGAUUUGAAUUGUGUCUUUACAGUUCUCAGAAGCAACAAUUGAUAUAAUGCGUAAGUGCCAUUUCCAAAAAUUAAACAAUGCAUCUUUGUCUUAAAAUUAGAAUGUUAGUUUUUCAGUAAAUAAACUUAAAAGAAGCGAAUUCAAAAUAGAGCAAACACAUAGACAUUGAUUUUAUUUCAAACAUUUUUGCUGGAAAGAAAAAGGAUUUAUGCAAGUCUGUUAUUAUCAAGAGAUGACUUCAGAUGGCAUCAUGAAUGAUUCCACUUUCUUGGAACAUUGUACAGAUGAUAUGCAUCAUCACUGGGCUGAGAUCACAAUGAGAAGAAUCACCACUCAUCAAAUGGCUCUCAGAGCUAAUAAUUUUUAUCUUAAAUGUAAAUGAAUGAAAAACAUAUGGAAAGAAAUUCAGUGCACAGAGUGAUUGAAGGCUUGUGGAAGGCUGCCAAGGGAAAAGAUCAUCUUCAAGCAUUAUGUUUCAAGAAUCUUUCAUUUCAGGCUUUACAGCUUCUAGAUGUCCCUGGCCAAAGGUAUGCACGGGGAGUCCUGUUGUUCCCAUUACACUAUGAAUGGUGAGAUUCUGUUUGUAAGCUUGCACAGUUCCAUUUCAAAUAUCUUAUGGGGCAAAGAUUCCAGAACACCUUUCUGGAAGAAGCUUCUGUGAUCAGAUACUGUUAUCAGUGACCCAAGAAGUGAGGAAACUAUUCUCCACUCCAAAUUGGGACUGGUGGGAAGGGUAUGAACAACAGGGCUACUUUGGAUCUCUGGAGAGGGUCUUGGUUUCCUGCCUCAUUUCUGUACGGUAGUUGACUGAUUUAGAAGUUCUUCUUCCACUUUGCCUCUCUUGAUAUUCUGUUUUCCUCUUGAAUUAGUUAAGAUUCAUUGUGUUACAUUUAGUAACAGAAAUCAAAUUGAGCCAAUGCAAGUGAAGAAGAAAGAAAUGAAAGAAUCAGGAAGCAAAAAGCCUUAGGGGACCCUGGGCACUCAAACUCUCCAUCCUAUGUCUCUGUUCCUCUUCGCACAUGUCCUUCGCUUUGUCUCUCUACAGUCCAGCUGCCUUCAUCUCUUCACAUACUGAAAAGCAAACUGGCAUUUCAAAAUCUGAAGUGACUGACAGCCUCUCAGCCCCAUUUACCAAUUCCUCAGAAAGAAUUAGUCUUUAGCCAAGAGAACCUCCCCAACCCAUCCAUUUACCUCCCAUCCAGGGGUGUGGGGUCAUAUGUGACACAUACUGUUAUCAGGUCCAGAGUAUGGGGUUGAGGUGUGACUUGCAGUUCAGAAAGAAUGGGGACUGAGUUGAGCAGUUACCCCAGAAAUUGUUGUCUACAUUUUGCUAUUGCCAGGGAAGAGAUCUUAAUAUGGGCAAUAAUAUUCAGUAUCCAUUUAUUUUGAAGCUCAAACCUUUCUUCCCUCUUCAGGAACACUAUUUGUUGUGUGUUUGUUUGUUUGUUUGUUUUGAGACAGGGUCUCACUCUGUUACCCAGGUUGGAGUGCAUUACCACCAUCAUAGCUCACUGCAGUCGCAACCUCCAGGUCUCAAGUGAUCCUCCCACCUCAGCCUCCAAAGUAGCUGGGAUCACAGGCAUGCACCACUAUACCUGGCUAAUUUUAUUUUUAUUUUUGUAGAGAUGGGGUCUCACCAUGUUGCCCAGGCUGGUCUCCAACUCCUGGGCUCAAGCAAUCCUCCUGCUUUGGCCUCCCAAUGUUCUGGGAUUAUAGACAUGACUCACCAUGCCCUGCCAGAUUGAUUUCUUUCAUCUUUAUAUGUGACUAAUGAAAUCUGCCUCACAGGAUUGUUGUGAAGAUCAAAAUGGGUAUCUCCUGGUACCUAGUAUAUAUCACACAUUUGACAAAUAAUAGGUAUUCUUAUUUUUUCACUUUUUAUAACUCUUUGUAGCAAACAGGUAGGCAAAUGAACUGGGUAUUAUGUCGCCAACUCUGAAAAUCAAUAAACAUCACCAGUGUCUAUUCUCCCAUUCUUCUCUAUCAAAUUGUGAUUAUUAGCAGCACUCAUCAUGAUUCAGAAUAAAAUAACAAACAUUUUCUAGUCUUCCUUAUUGCUGUAUUAGUCUGUUUUAAUACUGCCAUAAAGAACUACCUAAAUUGGGUAAUUUAUAGAGAAAAGAGGCUUAAUUGACUCACAGUUCAGCAUGGCUGGGGAGGCCUCAUGAAACUUACAGUCAUAGUAGAAGGUGAAG
rnacentral:lncRNA from 10 species